rnacentral:rRNA from 1 species
UACGUAGGGUGCGAGCGUUGUCCGGAAUUACUGGGCGUAAAGAGCUCGUAGGUGGUUUGUCGCGUCGUCUGUGAAAUUCCGGGGCUUAACUCCGGGCGUGCAGGCGAUACGGGCAUAACUUGAGUACUGUAGGGGAGACUGGAAUUCCUGGUGUAGCGGUGAAAUGCGCAGAUAUCAGGAGGAACACCGGUGGCGAAAGCGGCUCUCUAGUCUGUAACUGACGCUGAGGCUCGAAAGCGUGGGGAGCGAACAGG